GAAAAACUCCGAUGCAGGUAUAAUAUUUCAACAAGUAUAUUUUACAUAUAAUUUAUAUAUUGAAUUUUUAUUAAUUAACGAUAUUUCAAUGUAGGUUCUUAUGGGAAUUUUGAAUGAUAAAAAAUUUGUUAUCGAGUUUUCCGUAAAUAAUAUUUCAAAUGAAUUGGAAAACCUGUUUUUCAUUCAUCCUCUUUCGUUAGAUAUAUGGCAAGCAUUUCCACACGUUUUGAUUAUUGAUGCAACAUACAAAACAAACAAAUAUGCUAUGCCUUUUGUUGAGAUUGUUGGAGUAACUUCAACCAACAAGACAUUUAGCAUUGCUUUUGCCUUUAUCAUUAAUGAAAAGGAGGAAAGUUAUAAGUGGGUGUUAAUGUGUCUAAGGUUGACACUAGAAAAGUGCAUGCAACCACGCGUUAUAAUGACGGACAGAGAAUUGGCAUUGGUGAAUGCAUGCCAACAAGUUUUCCCUUAUGCAACUCGCUUACUUUGUCGAUGGCACAUUACCGAAAAUAUUAGAAAGCAUUGUAAGGCGCUAAUCCCAUUGAAAGCUGAGUGGAAAUCCUUUCGUGCUAUGUGGAGUAUACUUGUUGAGUCUCCAACAUGGACAUCAUACACUGAAAACUACAGAAAACUGCAGUCAAUGUUAAGAGAACAUCAAGGUACAAUGCUACUUAUUUUUUAAUUACUUGUUUAUAAAUUUAGAAGACUUUUUAUGUAUAAAUAACAUUUAUAUAAAUCCAGAUGUCUUACAAUAUUUGGACGAUGUUUGGUUAAACAAGUAUAAGGAAAUGUUUGUCUCUGUUUGGAUUGAUCAACAUCUGAACUUUGGACAACGAACUAGUAGCAGAGUUGAGGGCCAACAUUCAGUGUUAAAGAAGUACUUACAAGAAAAAAAUUAUUCUUUAGCUAAAUUUGUUGGUGCUAUUGAUCGGUUUGUGAAGUCUCAACUUACUGCAAUAAAUGAGAGUUUUGAAAAGAGCAUGAUUGUCUCCAAACACGAACACAGAUUUUCGUGUUUCGACUUAUUGCGGGGUAACGUUUCACUUAAAGCUCUAGAUAUGCUUAUAGAGGAACUUCAACGGGUACAUCAAGUUGACUCUUCAAACUGUGGUUGUAAACUACAAAAUAGUUGUGGUUUACCAUGUGCUUGCAUGCUAUCAGCGUACUUGAACUCCGGUGGGUACAUUUGACAAUUAUUUUUUUAAUUUAAGUUAUAUAUUGGUUGUUUAUAUAUUAAUGAUAUUUCAAUGCAGGUGAGUGUAUUCCAUUGGAAUCGAUAGAUGUAUUCUGGAGAAAGCUUAAAAUUUCACCAUCAAUUCCUAUGGAAAAUGAAGAUAUAUGUGGUGAUGGUAAAUUUGAAAUGUUUAAAGAAACCUACAAUAAGCAACCGGAAGCUGUGAAAAAAAGCAUGAUGAGAAAGCUACUAGAUAUAUUCCAGCCUAGUAAAACACACAUUAGAGAACCCGCAAUUCAAAAAAAUACACGUGGACGACCAAGUUUGAAGAAACAAAAACAAAAACAAACUGAUUCUAUCAAUCAAGCUCCUAGAAGACGCAACUUUUCAACCAUGCCAAAAUUUGUUGAGUUGAACAAUAGGGAUCCGGCAAGACAUAGUUCAUACAUAACCACAAUUCCAGACUUGAAUGAAAUUCCAGACUUGAAAGAAGAGCCAGACUUGAAUGAAAUUCCAGACUUGAAGGAAGAGCCAGACUUGAAUGAAAUUCCAGACUUGAAGGAAGAGCCUCAAUCAUGCUACAAUCAUCGACUAAUAGAUGAAAUCCAAGUGAUGUUUCAUCCUUACAUCACACAUAUACAAGAUGUAGAGGGGGAUGGAAACUGUGGAUUUCGAGCAAUAUCUGUUUGUCUUGGGUAUGGCGAGAAUGACUGGCUCUAUGUUCGACGUCAACUACUAGACGAGUUAUUGAGUUCGUACGAUGCAUAUGCUAGAGUUUUCACUGAUGGAAUCGGUGAACUAUAUACUUCGUUGAAUUUCUUAGAAUCACCGGCACCUAAAAGAUACUGGUUACUUAUGCCUGAAACAGGUAUCCUCAUUGCCAACAGAUUUGGUGUAGUCCUUACUUUUUUAACCAACCAAGGCUCUCUCACUUUCUUUCCUCUUUGGAAAGGUCCGGAAGAAUUUUUGUACCAUCGCGUUAUUACGAUUUCACUUGUAUAUGGUAAUCAUUAUGUGAUGGUACAAUUAGAAGGAGAUUGUCCGCUGCCUACCAUUUCAGCUUUCUGGAUCCGCCACAAAGCCCCAUGUGCAGCUGGAUGGGAAACUAUGUUCAUGUCACGUCUAGAACUUUAUAGACAACUGAAACCUUACAAUCCUGAAACACCUUUUAUAACUAUAGAGGAUUGUUAGAGGGUAUUAAUUUUCUCUCGAAUUAUGCAUUUAUGUAUUCAUGAAGGAUUGCUAAUGCUAUUGUUUUUUGCAUCAUAUUUUUGUUUUUAUGUAUUAAUUUAUAUUUAAUUAUUAAAUAAUAUACAAAUAUAUAUAUAUAUAUAUAUGUUAUUAAUCUAUAUUAAUUAAAAAUAAAUAAUUAAUCAUUUAUAUUUAAUUUAUAUAUAUAUAUGUUUUAAUUACUCCAAAAAAAAUAUUAAUAUUCAAGCAUAAAAUGAAAAAGAAAAGAAAAAUAAAAAGUAAAUAAAAUAAAAAUAAAAAGAAGGCAUGUAAAUUAAAGAAAAACAAAAAGUUAGGUAUAUAAACUUCAAUAUAAAAAGACAUUGUUGAUUUUUUUUUUUAUUAGGGUGUUUUUUUAGUAUAGGUUGUGUUUUUAGUAAAUGGGGGUGUUUAUUUAGCCUAUAGUCAUGUGGUAAAUAUACAACAAACACAAUUUUAUGUCAUUUAAAGUCACCAAUCACAAAUCACAAUUCAAUUCAGAGUAUUAAAUGAUCACAAAAAGAAUAAUUAAUUAGAAAUCAGAAAUGAAGCCAAAGUUUAAUUCAUUAACCUUCAGUUUUUUUGAGUUGUUUAAACCAAGAUAAUAUUGAUCUUAUAGUCUCGUAUCACCUGGUUUCCUUUUUGUGUACCUGGAGAAAUCAAGAACAAAACUGUUAAGCAUCCAUUUAAAAAUGGACUUAAACGUUAUCUCAUAAUCAACUACUCGGAUGGAAGACAUAAUAUUUAAUUAUUGCUGCAAUAAACAAUGAAAACUUCACAUCGUAAUCAGAAAAAUUACCAACUACAUAAUUGGUGCAAAAAGAAAGACAGGUUGAUUUCUACCAAGUCUCUUCUACAAGUCCAACCAUUUUCCAACAAAACAUGAAGUUUGGGUUUAAUUAAACAUAAAAAUCGGCACUUUAAGAUAGGUAGGUGCAACAAUGUUGUUUUACGAACAUCACAAUGCAGUAAAGCAGUGAAUGAAAGAACAUGGAUAAGAACAGAUGCUAAUUCAUUUCGAAAAACCUAUAGGCAACAAAACUAAUUUCAAAAAGAAAUGAGGUGAUUUCUACUAAUUCACGUCCACAACUCCAACAAUCUUCCAGGAACACAAAGACGAAUCCAAUUGAACUUAACAAGAAGCGAUAACAAAACCAGUAAAUAUGAACGACAACGAUAGAAAUCAAUAGAUAUUGCAAUUGAAAAACUAACAGAUGACACAUUUAGUAUUGACAAACUAAUUCCCACAAGAAACAAAAGCAAUUUCUAUGCUAUCAUUCAACAACUCCAUAGUCUUCCAUUAUAACACACACAAUCCAGCCAAAUCAAACCUAAAAACAGGCGUUUAAGAUAUGCAGGUGCGACAAUGAUGAUGAUCGAAUAAAGCACAUAAGAAUCGGUGGUGGAUCCUUUUCAGAAGAUCUUAGAUAGCACAAUUAGCAUACGAAAAUAACGUAAUUGCUACUAAAUCACCUUAAUAACAGGUCAAACUCAAAUUUUAGUAUAAUUAAAACUGAAACCUAUUAAGAAGUAGCAUCAGAAUCCGGAGAAACAGUGCACAGAUGAUGAAGAACGGGAAUCAAUACUUAAACAGAGAAUCACUGGUUGGGUGGAAAGAGAAAACUGCAAAGAAAUUUAAGCAACAUUUUUAUCGAUUAAUCCAAAAGUAGAAAUACUUGUUAUGCAUGAAUCGACCGAAGCAUACUGAAAUCACAAAUGCAAUUACUUGAAAGAUCAGACAAGAAUAUCAUUGAUUGUAGUUGACUUGCUUUAAAUUAAUGAUAGAAUUUUCAGACGACUCGACCAUUGAUGGAGGAAAAUUCGUCGAUACCUUUUCAGAUUUCCCAAUAUAUGGAUUAUUGCUCGAUUGCGUGAGGGAGAAAAUAAAUAUCGUUCGGAUCUAUGAACGACAGGGAGCCAUUGCUUUGUUCAGAUCUUCAAUUAAAAGAGGAAAGCAAGAUGAGAUCGGCGAUGGCUGUGACUGCGACGAACCAAGGAUGGAGAUGUGUGAGGACGUGAGAGAAAUUACAUCCGGGGAGGAAUAAAGAGAGGAAGUGUGGGUUUUUUU
rnacentral:lncRNA from 1 species